rnacentral:rRNA from 1 species
UACGGGGGGGGGCAAGCGUUGUUCGGAAUUACUGGGCGUAAAGCGUGCGUAGGUGGUUUGUUAAGUCUGAUGUGAAAGCCCUGGGCUCAACCUGGGAACGGCAUUGGAAACUGGCUUACUAGAGUGCGGUAGAGGGGUGUGGAAUUCCCGGUGUAGCAGUGAAAUGCGUAGAUAUCGGGAGGAAUACCAGUGGCGAAGGCGGCCUUCUGGACGGAUACUGACGCUGAGGCGCGAAAGCCAGGGGAGCAAACGGG